rnacentral:rRNA from 1 species
UGGGGAAUAUUGGACAAUGGGGGCAACCCUGAUCCAGCCAUGCCGCGUGAGUGAUGAAGGCCUUCGGGUUGUAAAGCUCUUUUGGCGGGGACGAUGAUGACGGUACCCGCAGAAUAAGCCCCGGCUAACUUCGUGCCAGCAGCCGCGGUAAGACGAAGGGGGCUAGCGUUGUUCGGAAUUACUGGGCGUAAAGCGAGUGUAGGCGGUUGCCGUAGUCAGGUGUGAAAGCCUUGAGCUCAACUCAAGAAAUGCACUUGAUACUGGGUGACUAGAGGACCGGAGAGGAUAGUGGAAUUCCCAGUGUAGUGGUGAAAUACGUAGAGAUUGGGAAGAACACCAGUGGCGAAGGCGGCUAUCUGGACGGUUACUGGCGCUAAGACUCGAAAGCGUGGGGAGCAAACAGGAUUAGAUACCCUGGUAGUCCACGCCGUAAACGAUGGGUGCUAGACGUUGGCGAGCUUGCUCGUCAGUGUCGCAGCUAACGCGUUAAGCACCCCGCCUGGGGAGUACGGCCGCAAGGUUGAAACUCAAAUGAAUUGACGGGGUCAUAGCUGUUUCCU